rnacentral:lncRNA from 1 species
AUGAUCACUCUGCAACCUACACCAGGGACCAUUGCUCUGGUGGGCGGGGCCUGCUCACAGCACUGCAGGGGAGGGGCAAGUUGGUGUCAUAAUGUGCAUUAUGCCUGGGGGAUGUUCUGUGUGUCGGGGGAGCUGUGUGACAGCAAAGCUGCAGGAGACCUGGGUACUGCCAAGUCCUUUUUUUCCCCCCAGGAUGAGCAAGCAGAAGCCUCUUUCCAAAAAAUGACCAAAAAGCUACCUACUACUUGGGAAUUGAAUCCCCAUCGUCCCGCGCUCAUCCUGGAGAUACGCUUUCCCAACCACGGGGACAGUUCUGGCGCAGCUCACAACUCUAAGGACUCUGGAUUCCCUGCAGCCCGACCUGGUGGGCCCAGGAAAGAUGGGACCGUGGCAAGCCAACCCUCAGCCCGAGAAGUCACCUCGGAGAUGCACGACCCAGGAAAGAUUUCCACUGAGCACUCAACAACUUCUGAGAAUGCAACACAUCUUUGCUUCUAGCCAGACUACUUGCCAG